rnacentral:rRNA from 1 species
AGAGCGAACGCUGGCGGCAUGCUUAACACAUGCAAGUCGCACGAAGGUUUCGGCCUUAGUGGCGGACGGGUGAGUAACGCGUAGGUAUCUAUCCACGGGUGGGGGAUAACAGCGGGAAACUGCUGCUAAUACCGCAUGAAGCCUGAGGGCCAAAGGCGCAAGUCGCCUGUGGAGGAGCCUGCGUACGAUUAGCUAGUUGGUGGGGUAACUGCCUACCAAGGCGACGAUCGUUAGCUGGUCUGAGAGGAUGAUCAGCCACAUUGGGACUGAGACACGGCCCAAACUCCUACGGGAGGCAGCAGUGGGGAAUAUUGGACAAUGGGGGCAACCCUGAUCCAGCAAUGCCGCGUGUGUGAAGAAGGUCUUCGGAUUGUAAAGCACUUUCGACGGGGACGAUGAUGACGGUACCCGUAGAAGAAGCCCCGGCUAACUUCGCGCCAGCAGCCGC